CGGCCCUCCUUGUGAUAACGGGUGGGGCCGAGACCUGCUUGCCGCAGGCUGUGGGGCGCGGCCCCCUUGUGAUGGGCUGUAGGGCUAAGACCUGCUUGUGACAAUGGCUGUUUGGCUCACAGGGAUACACAGGUGGAAGUGACCGGUCAAGCCUGGGAUGCUGCGCAGGGGGGAAUAAAAUGCUCAGCUGUCAGCUCCUCAAUGGACAGAGACCAGGGCAAAGACCAGCUGCUCCUUUGUCUCUGUGCACAGGUGCCCGCAUAGACAUAGCUACGGUACUCUACACUUGAUGCAUUAUCUUGCUACAGACGCAAGGCAAACUCUGCUCCUCCCUUCUGGCCUAGAGUGCAAUGAUGGAUUAAGUAGGGCAGAGCAGAAGGAGCCUUGGUGGAAACAGUACAUUUGAAAUGAACCCAUGCUGCAGACUGACUCGGAUUCUCCAACCAGGACUGAGAAUUGAGCAAUGACAAGCUGCCCUAUUUUUUCCCUUGAAGGGAAGACAUCUAGUUCCUUCUUCAGGUCUUCUCCUUCCUGCAGCUGUGGCUCUGUUUCCUGCAUGUUACUCCCUUCCUUGCCCUGUGAUCUCGCUCUGGUGUCCUGUGUGAUCCAGUGACUGCCCGCACCUAAUGCGUGAGCCUCCUGGAGCAGGAGUUGAGGUGCCCAAGCUGCAUAUAUACGGUGUGCCUGUGCUGAGGAGGCCUUGUCUGGAGAGCUGUCCCUCCCUGUCUGCAUAGCUUACUAGGCAUGUAACCCUGCUAAACGCUUUUCAGAUGUGUGAAUAACGCUUUUGAGGUGGUUGCUAGGCUCUUGCAGAAAAUACAGCAAAGCAGUCAAAAUUCUUCAUGUUAAUUGGUAGGAAUACUCCAGCCAUCUCGCUGCUGCCUGCCUCAUCUUUCCAUGGCAACACUCUCUACAGCAGCCCAGGUGCUUGUGGUUGGAUAUAGUGGGAUUUUUUUGAGCCCUCUGUCUUCCAAAUUGCCCCUUGGAGCAUGGAGGGAACAUCUGUACUUUUAAAGUAUGGGUAUCAUGUGAUACAUCAAAUAGCUUCCCUUGGUCUAACCAUAUCCCUUUUUCAUGCUGUCAGACGAAAAACUUUGGAAACAUGCCUGCAUUUCUUUGGUGGAAAGAGCGGUUGUCCUGUUUGUUUUUUUAACAGGGAGAGAAUGGUGCUGAAAGAGUCUUGAGUGAUUUCCUUCCCAUGGCCUGAGCUGUCACACCUUUCUGUGAGCUGGAGAAAGGAGGGACCACAGCUCAUGGCAUCUGGUGGGCAAAGGGAAGGGCAAUCUUUUUCUCUCCAGCAGAGCUCAGCCUGGAUUGAGUUCUGAUGUCUCCUUCAGGAAGCCGGGAUGGUGGCUGGAAGGAGCCAGAGAACAGACACUUGGUAGCAGCAAGUGCUGGUUCAUCUUGAAAUACAGUGAGAAACAGGCUGGAUGGAGGAGACCACCUAUUCAUCCACAAAACAGUGAGCUGCUGCUGUUGCUGUGGUCAGGGUGAAGGCAUCCUCCUGGUCGGACCUUGAUUAGCAAAUAAGUUUAUUUCUCUUCCAUCUCCAGGAGGCCACAGAUGGUAUCUGAGUCCCUUAGGACAAUCUAGGACCUAGAAGGUCCUUUCUGAUCUUUUCAUUUGUAUUUUUCUCCUCUUUCAAAUGAAGCGUUUCCUUUCCUGAUGGUUUGAGUUCCCCUCAUUUGGAUCUUUGUGUUUCCAAGGAUCUUACCUGGUUCAGAGUGUCAGCAGUGGUGAAGGAAUGAACCGCAAUUCUGGCGCCUUGUUUCACACCUCCAGUGGAUGAAUUUUCUUCUGGGGAACUGGGAAGGGUGUUUCUCCAGCAGCAGGAGAGGUUUGGACUAACAUAGCCUGCUCUUUACACAGCAAGCUGCUCUGUAGUCCCUAGACAACUCCAUGCUGGUUUGUCAGAUUGGGUCUAAUGGCAAAGUUCAAGCCUGUAGGAUGAGUAGGUCUUGUACGCUCCUGAAAGUCGAAGAGAAAAGGCAGAUGAAUCAGCAGGAAGUUAUGGUGGGCCUAUUCCCAGCUCUGCUCUUCCCAAGAAAUAUGCAUGAUGCCACACUCUCCCCACCUCAACCUCCCUCUGCUGUUACGUGGGCUGGGGAAUCACAAUGGCAGUCCCAGCAACAGUCAUGGAUAAAGAUAUUUGGGAAGAUGAUAAAGACAAGAAGGUGGGGAAGCUGUGGGUGUGAUGCAUUGAUACAGAUUUCCCUUGGGACCCCUGAACUUGAUGUUUCUGAUUUCUGGUCUAUUGCUGUGCCCUCAUGUUACUGCAACACACGCUUGGGAAAGCAACUGGUGGGUGCAGUGUUACUGCAGUGGCUUGGGGCAGCAACUGGUGGAUGCAAGGGGCAGGAAGGGGGGUCUUCCACUGUUGCCUCGUGUUAGAGAUGAGAUGAGCCUGACCAGUCUUUGUCCCCCUAGGACUGACCCAGCAGUCUCUUUCCAUAUGGCUUCCACGAGCUCAAGUUAGUGUCACUGUCAGUCAGUUGUCUCAGUGGCUGGGGAGGAAAAAUCCCUUCCCUGUGUACAAGGUGGGAUUUGUCUUGUGUCAGCUGAAUGCAAUCUGCAGACUUCAGCUCCUUGGAGCCCCUGCCUGCCUCUCACUAGCCCAGCCUGGUUUCGGCAUUCACUGUCAGGUACCUUCUUUCUGCAUUCAGAGUAUAGAAAGUGUCAGCCUGGCAUUCCCCACUCAGCUCCUAGGGACAAGGCAGGUCCUGACUUAUGUGUUUUAUCAUUAAAAAGAUAAUUUCCUCUAGAUGUGUGCAAUAAGACAAUGGGUGCUGACCUGUGAUCCUGGCAUUGUGCAGUGUUAAUGAUUUCCCUCUGCAGAUAAUAAGCAAUGAAUGUAUAUAUUUGGGGGAGAUCUGAUUUUUUUUCCCCCUUUUAAGACUGCUGUCUUCCUAGGCCAGACUUAAUUAGCAGACCUCAUUAUUUCCUCAAAUGUAACUUGACUUCCAUUGAAUGAAAAUUGUUCAGUGGAUGGGGAGCAGCAGAGCAGUGCUGCAAUAUUCAUAUUGUUUUAAUUGCAACAUUAACAUUUCAUGCCACUCUUGGCAUACUUUCAGGUGCAGCCCUUUAGCUCAAUGCAACACUGUGAAAGGUUGGAUCAGAACAAUUAAGGCAGAGUGACUGGAUUUCUGGAUUUUCUUUUUUUUGUUUGUUUGUUUUUAAUGAACGCAAGCCUGGAUUCAAUCCCCAUCACUCCUUUUGUUGGGUGAAACAGGGAGUCAAGCAGCCCUGAAGUGUAAAUCCUUGGUUUGGAAUAAAGGAUGUGCUGUAGUGUAUGCUUAAAUACUCUUUUUGUGGAACUGAAGCCCUGCAAGGACAAGUGAUUCGUGAUCCACCAGGCUGACAGCACAUCCUGGGACUUGGCCUUUACCAGGUGAUUCAGAGAAGCCCCAGAAUGCAUCUGGCCAGCUGGGCCAGUGUCACAUAGGAGCUGGAGGGAAAAGGGCUAUUUUCCACUUCUCGAUUACUUCCAGGACUCUGGAAUGAGUGAGGCUGGAAAUGACACCAUGAACAGGUGACAACUGGGGCAGUACAGAUCCUAAAUGAGCACAGGGAUUGCCCCACUCUGUCCCCAAAUUGCAUGUAAGGUUUGGCUUCUUUGCCAUGGGGUCAGCCUCCGCAAGCUCCAGUCACCUUUGCUGCCUUGCCAUGUACCAUGUGCUUCUUGCUAAUUCUUCCUAUGCUAGAGAGUGGUGACGAGUGAUGUGAGGUCCCAGCAAAACCAGCUCCAGGUUCUCACUGAAACAGCCUAAUGAGGGUCUCCUAAUUGGGUCACUGAAAGGAGGGAGCAUCUGAACUAAUCCAUAAGUCUGGGGUGGCAAUUCAAGCUGGAAAUGCAGCAGGACCUCAGCUUGCACACUGGCCCCCAACAAGGAAAAAGCACACGGCCUGGUUCCAGAGGCUUUGAAAAGCCUUUGAAAAGGCUAACAUGCCAUCUUAGCUGGCUGUCUCUCCUGUCAGCUGAGCAGGCUUGAAACCUUCACCCGUUAGUACUGUGUGCAGUGGGAUCCAUGAAGUCUCAUUUCUUGUGGAUAUAUCACUUGAGUUUGGAUUCUCUAGUGUCUAGUAAGCUGCUUGUGCUGAAUGGAGCAUCUCCCCUUACUGGGGUAUUUAUAGCAUCACUCCUUCUCCCACACAGAUUGUCUGAUGUCUAAUAAGGGAUGAUACACUACAGUUUGGAAGGUGCUAAUAAUGUCUCUUCUCUCUUUAACAGUCUGUUCCCAUGAAAUUUAUAGACUCUGACUGUCUCUCAGACCUCUGUCUCUGUCAGAUCAGGUUGAAAUCUGUUUGCUGUGUCAGAAGUUGCAGGGAGUGGGCAGAGGACAGACUGAUGCAGCAGGAGUGCAUAUGCUUUGCACUUCUUGGGAAAUUAGGCUGAAAACGUGCCCAGCUCUGUUUCCUGCAGAUCUGGAGGGGCAGCUGUGGUUCAGAUCACUAAAUUGUGAGUUUGGGAAAGCAAGCUGGUUGGGUGGGAGGAAGGCGCUGAGCUCAAAACGUACCCAGGAGAAGAGCUGCUCUGCCCCCAGCCGUCUUGCAUGCUAUGCUGAGGGCUCCUCAGGCACGCUUGAGCUGCCUGGGGCGAUGAGUGCAAGUACAGAGCUUGGCCUCUUGCGAAAGACAGCCCCUGAGGACAAUAAACGAGCAAGCCCAGGGCUCUUGGCUGGUGUGAAGAAUUGCCAGGCUAAAGGAUAAUGAAUGCCACAGCAGGAAAUAGAGCAUUUCUCUGAGGCCAUUCAUCCCCUUUAUCACUCUGCUAACAAGCCCCAGAGUGACUUCAGAGAGACUUCUCUGGAGCAGCACCAUCCCUCAGCCCUGCUUAUGGCUGGGUGCUGGGGGUGAGGAAUACAUUGCAUGGCAGGAGUGCUCAGUGGAAAACUGCCGACCAAUCCCAAAUAACAGCUCCAAGUCUGGGUGUCUGCAGUAGGGACUGUGCAGUGGCUCUGGCUUGGCGUGGAGACCAUGCCCUUCUUCGGGCCAUGUGCGGUGCCACCUGAGAGAUCUGUAUGAAAAAGCCAAGCAUCGAUCUUUCUUAAAGAACUCUGGGGCAGAAAGGGCCCUGCAGCACCUUAGGAGGAUUGCUCUAUCCUAACUCCCACCUUGUCUAAGAUUUAAAAUUCAUAAGAUUUAUACAGGACCCAAGAGGAGUUUGGGACUGCUGGCACAGAGGUCUCUAAGCAUUUUAAAAGAAAGCUAACACCGCAGAUUGUAAAACUCACAUCUUGAGGCUUCAAAGACUAGUUCAAAGCCAGCCAGAGGAGCCAAGGCCACUGCCUACAAGCCAGUGCUCAGCACUCCCCAAGACUAUGACCCACAGGGAGCUUCAUCCUCUCUCCUUGCUCUCUGGGUACCCUCCACAUGCACAGCCCUCAGAAGAGGCUGGGAGGGUGACAGGCACAGAGAUGUUGAUGUCUUCUGAGAUGAGUUUUAUGUGACUUGAGCUUCCUGAGAAUGAGGUGAUACAGCCUAGCAGCUACAGCAUUGGUUUGGGACACAAAAUCAGGUGGCUUCUGGUUUGGGAGCAUUCUCAUGUUAGGGUAGUUCUCGCUUCCCCCUCCUCCCUUUCAGAACUGAGAGCAGCCAAAAUUAGAGGAAAACCUGGCUCCGAGCAUUUUCUGCCCCCCAGUCCCUUCACCUGGAUUUUUUAGUUUUUCCCUUACAGUCUCAGCUGGCUGAGUUUCAAUGCCAGCCUAUUGAAAGGAAAGGCACGUGCUGGCUUACGGAGGGAGAGAGACCUGAGACAGGAUAAAUCUGGAGGCAAUGAGGUUGGGGGGAGGCAAGUUGCCUGCUCUGACACUUUUAUUAUGGAGCCUGGCUGCUUGGGAAUGAAUCUUUUUUGAAGCAUAUGUUGCUGGAUGACAUUUUUACCAGGUCUCAGCAGUAACCUUCGCCACACCUCGCUGCCCAGCCCUGUCCUUGCCUGUUCCUGGGACAAGGGGAGGGAAUGUCAGCUGGAAAUGCCACAGGCAGUAGGGCUCAAUGGUGCUUAAUGCACCUCCGAUGAGUCUGAAAGCACCUGGACUUUGGCACUAGAAACUCUUCAGGCUUUGGUGACUUCAGCUUAUGGAUGCAUGUGUUGUUUUGCAAAGGAGGUUUUGGCUUCUACAUACGUUUCUUUAUUUCAGAAAUGAAAGAGGAUACAACAGAGACCAAAAUGAAAUCCUCCACAGAGUUGCCCAGAAGGAGGGAUAAUUUCAAGGAAAGAUUAUUCCUUGGCUCUAGAAAAGGAAGAUCUACUUGUUCAGUAACCUGGUGAUGAGCUACUGGUUCUUGCUUUGUGCAGAGGCCUUGUGCAGGGGUGUGCAGAGACUGCUGCCCUCUCUACUCUUCCCCUGUAUCACUGUCAACUUAGAUUUCACAUUGAGAGGGUGAUGUUGUGGCUGGCAGUGACAAUAGCAGGAUGUCACUGGUCGAGGUGAAAUCUUUCCCUUCGUGAGGUUACUUCUUCCUUUCCGUCCCCUUGGCUUACAUCAGGAACCGCUGGCUUUUAGUAACAAGCAGGGCACGCAUACGAGCUGCUCAAAGGGUGAUGUAUACUGUGCUGAUCACCACUUUUCUUGCUGUGUUGGUAAGCAGCACUGUGUCACUGAUGUCUCUUUGCUGUGCGGUGGCCUGGGACAGAGGGAAAGCCCUUGUCACUGUCUGAGAUAAAUCAGGGCCAUUGGGAGUUGCCGUGUUUGCUGUCAUGGGAGCAUUGCACAGCAUGGUCCUUUGCCAUGCUGGCAGUCUUGUAUCAACAGGAAGUCUGCUAGGGAUGUCUCUUCAGAGUCCUGGAGGCCAUCUGUGCUCUUUGGGGGCCAGGCCUGAACUAAAUCAUGGUCUGAGGGGCAAACAUGUUAAUGUUCUCUGCAGGCUGUCUCUCACCUCCUCUGAAAUGGGAGCUAAUCUUGUAGAAGAGUGCUUGUGCCCAGAAGAGUUCCAGCAGCCUCUCUGCCAGCUUUCUGUCCUCAGGGACCAGUUCAGCAAAGCUAUAGUGCUGUUCUGGGUGCAGCUUUCAUUUUCCACCUGAUUACAGAGGAGAGAAUGACCCUGCUGCUGCCAGGCCAUGGUAGAAAAUAGAGGUAGGGGGUGGGCUUCUUUAUUGCAUCCAAGAUUCUGGUUCUCUAUUAGCCCUGAUUCUGUCUUGCAUCUUUUCCAGCUGGAGCCUGUCUUUAUUUUGUUUUGUUUUGUUUUUUUCUUUUUCCCUUUUUUCUUCACCUUAUUAAAAAUGGCUUUGCCAUCUGCAUCUGUCAGGAGUCUGCUGAAUUGGGUCUACGGCUCAGUGAAGAUACAAAUGUGCGGGCUAUCCAUCAUCAGAUAAAUCCUCUCCUUGCUCCCACAUCUCAGCUGCUAAUAGGAAUGCUGGGAAAGGGGUAACUGUUUUACCCUGCUUUUUCCUACCAUCCUCUUCCUUCUCCCUUUUUCAUCCCAUCUCUAGGCCUAUUACAAGGCAAUUGGAAGGCUGGAGUUCAAGGACACUUGCCUUCACUUGUUGGUCCAGGCACUUUUUGAGAGAUGACCAGCACUAUGGGGCUCUGCAAGGAGGAAUGCACCAUAUAUGAAAUCCUCAGUUGCUACAACUCUGCAGGGUCACUCAGUCUGGUACACGAGCUGCUUCCCUGGCCUUGACGUACUAAGAAGCUUUCAGCCAGGUGGGCUCAGAGGAGCAGGCAGGCAGAAAAUGAAAUCAGUCUUUCCAUGCUUUUGCCACAGCUAUCUGGUCAAGGAGGGGAAUUUUCUGGGAGGGCAGACCCCUGCUUUGGCAGGAGGAGAGAAGAAACAGCUUGAGCUUGCUGUUUCUAUGACAAACAGAUGGAUGUUCAGUGGGGACCCAAGAAAACCCUCUUCCUUCAGGCUAGCUGCAAGCCCUCCAAGCCAAAGCUUUGUGCUGACUUGAAAAAAGUAUCGCUUCGUUGAUGCUCGGCCUGAAUUACCUCUUCUAGGCACUUGAUUCAGGACAACCUUCCCCUCUUGCCACCGACUCCUGGGAGGAGCCAGCUGUAUGCCUGCAACCAGGCAAGAAUGCAGCAGGAGUCAUUGAGCAGUGAGGAGGGAGGAAGGCGGGUGAUGGCAGAUUCCUCUGGCAUCUCCACACUGCAGGGCUCUUGGCGAAGCCUCUUCCCUGCCUUGGGCUAGGAAAGAAAGUAAAACAUGAAGGGUUACUUUUUCCUAGCCAAGAAGAAUGAAACAAACUUCCCCUCGGGUAGCUGACUGAGGAAAUCGGCACCUUACGUAUUCCCAAGAAUAAUACAGUCAAGUAGUUGGGGGAGAAAGAAAAAGCCCAUAACGCAGUGUUACUUUUCCCAGUUCAGCACUCUGAAUAAUGAGCCUACAAGCUGGAGGGAGAGGUGCCAGGAGAGGCACCUGUGUACAGGAGAUGGACACAACAAGUGUCUCACAUGGGCCAAUAUCUGAAGCGAUUGCUCUCUAAUUUUCUACAUCAGUGAGAACGCAGCGCAGUGCCAUCAAUCACAGUCAGCCUCCCCUCGGAAAGCCACCUCCUGCCUCACUGUACUCUGGCAUCCCCACUCUGCUUCUGCCCCUGGCUGGGGAACCGCAGGUGUACCAGCCAGCAGGCACGUUCUGUCCUUGGGGGUUUCUUCCUUGUGUUUGAGCCUGCUUGUGUUUCUGCCCUUCUUCUUUCUCCACCCCCAGCACCUGUUCCUUGCCAGUGCUUUAUUUCCAGGCUGCGUUUCUCCUUCCUGAAGUCAGAAGAGGCCAAAUACUCCUUAUAUCCCCAAUGAGGAGUAGGCGUGGAGCUGCUUUUCCUGGGAUAAAACCCCUGCAUUUUGCAUGGGAGAGGGAAGGGGGUGAGUUUUGUGCCUGUACUGCUCAUCUCAGGGUAAAGGGUUGGAUUUUAUGGGUCUUCUAAGGCUGCUCUUGCAGUAGUGGCCAUGAGAGCAUGUUCAGAGGACUGCUGUUGCCUGCUUGGCUCCUUCAUCCCAGCCCUAGCUCUGGGCGUGGAGUAGCUAAGAGAGCCACCUUUCAUGCUGGGCUGGUAGUGUGAUGCAGCAGCUCUUGGUCUCUCGGUUUCUCCUUCUGUGAAGUACUCUGCUCCUUCCAGGCAUGGCUGUGUUUCCACCAGACCCAGGGACACCUCUUUGGCAGGAGCAGUGGUGAUGGGUGUCCUGAGCACACCCAGGGCAGACACACUCCUGAGAUGGCCAGAAGGCUAGCGGGAGAUGGAUCUGUGCUCAUGAUUGUUUCUUCUACUGGAGCAUAGACACAGCUGGUGGGUUUGAUAGCUUUUGCUUCUUCUUCUCUCUCAUGUGCUAGGUUUUGUUCAAUUGUGGUGGCUCUUGGUAGGUCCAGGACAAAAAGUGGUAUGCAGUCCCAUUUCUGGCUUCAUCAGCUCCAGCACCAGCUAGAACCAAGGACCAUGAUUCUUUCUUGAGCACAUUCCUAGACAGAAGCAUCUUCUGAAUAAAUCUGUGCGGUUGCCA